CACGGGUGAGUAACACGUAUCCAACCUGCCGUCUACUCUUGGACAGCCUUCUGAAGGAAGAUUAAUACAAGAUGGCAUCAUGAGUCCGCAUGUUCACAUGAUUAAAGGUAUUCCGGUAGACGAUGGGGAUGCGUUCCAUUAGAUAGUAGGCGGGGUAACGGCCCACCUAGUCUUCGAUGGAUAGGGGUUCUGAGAGGAAGGUCCCCCACAUUGGAACUGAGACACGGACCAA
rnacentral:rRNA from 1 species